rnacentral:rRNA from 1 species
AGAGUUUGAUCCUGGCUCAGAACGAACGCUGGCGGCGUGCCUAACACAUGCAAGUCGAACGGAGAUAAGGGGCUUGCUCCUUAUUUUAGUGGCGCACGGGUGAGUAACGCGUGGAUAAUCUACCUUGGAAUCUGGGAUAACAUUUCGAAAGGGGUGCUAAUACCGGAUAAGACCACGAGCUCUUUGGAGUUUGCGGUAAAAGGGGGCCUCUGUAUAUGCUUCUGUUUCAAGAUGAGUCCGCGUACCAUUAGCUAGUUGGCAGGGUAAUGGCCUACCAAGGCGACGAUGGUUAGCUGGUCUGAGAGGAUGAUCAGCCACACUGGAACUGAGACACGGUCCAGACUCCUACGGGAGGCAGCAGUGGGGAAUUUUGCGCAAUGGGGGAAACCCUGACGCAGCAACGCCGCGUGAGUGAUGAAGGCCUUCGGGUCGUAAAGCUCUGUCAGAGGGAAAGAAGUGUAUGGCGGUU